GGCAGAAUUAGAAGGAUAGCCAGGGAAGAAACGGCAAUAUCGUGGAUGUAAGCUGGUUGGAAUGCACCAGAUAUUCAAGGAGGAACACCGGUGGCGAAGGCGGUUUCUCUGGGCAUUUCCUGACGCUGAGGAGCGAAAAGUGUGGGGAGCGAAACAGGAUUAGAUACCCUGGUAGUCCACACCGUAAACGUUGGGCGCUUAGGUGUGGGAUCCAUUCCACGGGUUCCGUGCCGCAGCUAACGCAUUAAGCGCCCCGCCUGGGGAGUACGGCCGCAAGGCUAAAACUCAAAGGAAUUGACGGGGGCCCGCACAAGCGGAGGAGCAUGCGGAUUAAUUCGAUGCAACGCGAAGAACCUUACCUGGGUUUGACAUGCACCGGGAUGUGCCAGAGAUGGUGCAGCUUUUGCUGGUGUGCAGGUGGUGCAUGGCUGUCGUCAGCUCGUGUCGUGAGAUGUUGGGUUAAGUCCCGCAACGAGCGCAACCCUCGUCGCAUGUUGCCAGCAGCGCCUUCGGGUGGCUGGGGACUCAUGCGAGACUGCCGGGGUCAACUCGGAGGAAGGUGGGGAUGACGUCAAGUCAUCAUGCCCCUUAUGUCCAGGGCUUCACGCAUGCUACAAUGGCCGGUACAGAGGGCUGCGAUACCGCGAGGUGGAGCGAAUCCCAAAAAGCCGGUCUCAGUUCGGAUUGGGGUCUGCAACUCGACCCCAUGAAGUCGGAGUCGCUAGUAAUCGCAGAUCAGCAACGUUGCGGUGAAUACGUUCCCGGGCCUUGUACACACCGCCCGUCACGUCAUGAAAGUCGGCAACACCCGAAGCCGGUGGCCUAACCCCUUGUGGGAGGGAGCCGUCUAAGGUGGGGCUGGCGAUUAGGACGAAUUCCUAACAGGGUAGCCGUACCGGAAGGUGAGGCUGGAUCACCU
rnacentral:rRNA from 1 species